rnacentral:rRNA from 1 species
GACGAACGCUGGCGGCGUGCCUAAUACGUGCAAGUCGAACGGAAAGGCUCUGCUUUUGUGGGGUGCUCGGGUGGCGAACGGGUGAGUAACACGUGAGUAACCUGCGCUUGACUUCGGGAUAACUUCAGGAAACUGGGGCUAAUACAGGAUAGGAGCUCCUGCUGCAUGGUGGGGGAUGGUAAGUUACGGCGGUUGGGGAUGGACUCGCGGCCCAUCAGCUUGUUGGUGGGGUAGUGGCUUACCAAGGCUUUGACGGGUAGCCGGCCUGGGAGGGUGACCGGCCACAUUGGGACUGGGGUGCGGCCCGGAGUGCAACGGGGGGAAUCGGUGGGAAUUAGUGCGCGCAAGGCGGAGGCCUGAUAGAACGACGCCGCGUGCGAAAUGACUGCCGUCGGGUAAUAAACCGCUUGCGCGUGUAACGAAGCGUGAGUGACGGUAAUGGGUAAGAAAGCGACGGCUAACUACGUG